rnacentral:rRNA from 1 species
UACGUGGGGUGCAAGCGUUGUCCGGAAUUAUUGGGCGUAAAGAGCUCGUAGGCGGUUUGUCGCGUCUGCUGUGAAAACUCGGGGCUUAACCCCGGGCCUGCAGUGGGUACGGGCAGACUAGAGUGCGGUAGGGGAGACUGGAAUUCCUGGUGUAGCGGUGAAAUGCGCAGAUAUCAGGAGGAACACCGGUGGCGAAGGCGGGUCUCUGGGCCGUAACUGACGCUGAGGAGCGAAAGCGUGGGGGAGCGAACAGG